rnacentral:lncRNA from 1 species
AAAAGCCCAAUGGGCAGUACAAGGAGGUGAAAUACAGAAGCCCAUUUCCAACAUUUGCGACCUUAAUUAAAAUAAAAGCUGCCUAAUCUUAAACUAAUUAGUGAAAGAUUAGGAUGAGAAGGUCCCACGUGCAACACCAUGUGUUAGCACGCGAGAAGGAAAAAAGAAACAGUCGGUGCCGGCAAAUUCCACGAGUUGACACAACACCGCCGCCGGCUUCGAGCAUCCACCACCGCCAUCCUUCUACAGAUUUCGCUUUUGCCUAUCAGAUUGAAGACCACCGGUUCUGUCUGAUAGAAGCUUAAGAAGACUUCAAAGAUCUUCACAUCUUAACCCGAUCCCUUGAAUUGGAAGCUACGCCUAUGACCUAAAGAGGCCGCCGACUACAACAGAGUCAGAUGAAACGACGAAGAUAUUACUCCGAUUGAAGAGAGGAGUCAAGUUAACGGUGAGACGGGGAGAUCAAUGGAUCGCAAGAGGAUAUUGAUUGAAUCCUUGUAGAAAGAGGAAGCAAAACACAAUCCAAACUUAGAGAACUAAGAUGGAUGUUAGUAGAUCCGAUUAAAACCGGAGAAAGGUCCGACAAAACGGAAAGACGAAAUCCGACUAUAAUCGGAAAACUGAAUAUAUUACAGACAAAAGCCACAAACGGCUGAAGAGAAUUCCGGUAAACCGGAAAUUACCCUCUCUCUAAAAGAUAGAAGUGCGUUAAGAGAGAGAGGAAUUUUUUUUAAGCAAUAGUUACAUACAGCCAAUAAAAAUUGAUUAAUAAGAGGAAUCAAAAUUGACUAUAUCGAUAAAAUGUGUGGAGGAAUAUACAGCUUAACAGCAAUAACUUGAAAUGACGAAAAUACCCUUGUGCAAGCUGUGUUCUUUUUUUUGGUAAAGCGCGUGGGCAGUUAAAGAAAAAAUGUGAAACUUCUGAGAGACGUUGGGAGGACUUUAAUCUUUAGGACAGGCUGGAUAAUGUUUUUAAGACAAAAGACUUUGGAGAAGUAGAGAUAUGGGGAAGCGUGUACAGCUGGCAGUUAG